AGACGAGUGGCGAACGGGUGAGUAACACGUGGGUAACCUGCCCUUGAAGUAGGGGAUAACACUUGGAAACAGGUGCUAAUACCGUAUAACAACCAAAACCACCUGGUUUUGGUUUAAAAGACGGCUUCGGCUGUCACUUUAGGAUGGACCCGCGGCGCAUUAGCUUGUUGGUAAGGUAACGGCUUACCAAGGCGAUGAUACGUAGCCGACCUGAGAGGGUAAUCGGCCACAUUGGGACUGAGACACGGCCCAAACUCCUACGGGAGGCAGCAGUAGGGAAUCUUCCACAAUGGACGAAAGUCUGAUGGAGCAACGCCGCGUGAGUGAUGAAGGGUUUCGGCUCGUAAAACUCUGUUGUUGGAGAAGAACAGGUGUCAGAGUAACUGUUGACAUCUUGACGGUAUCCAACCAGAAAGCCACGGCUAACUACGUGCCAGCAGCCGCGGUAAUACGUAGGUGGCAAGCGUUGUCCGGAUUUAUUGGGCGUAAAGCGAGCGCAGGCGGUUUUUUAGGUCUGAUGUGAAAGCCUUCGGCUUAACCGGAGAAGUGCAUCGGAAACCGGGAGACUUGAGUGCAGAAGAGGACAGUGGAACUCCAUGUGUAGCGGUGAAAUGCGUAGAUAUAUGGAAGAACACCAGUGGCGAAGGCGGCUGUCUGGUCUGUAACUGACGCUGAGGCUCGAAAGCAUGGGUAGCGAACAGGAUUAGAUACCCUGGUAGUCCAUGCCGUAAACGAUGAGUGCUAAGUGUU
rnacentral:rRNA from 1 species